GCCAAACGGGGUGAGAGGCCAGGGGGCCCUGAGCCUCCCCCCAUGAAGCAGCCCCCCAGGUGCCUGCUGCACAGCCUGGCAUGGUGCCCAGCUGGUAUGUGGGGACAUCUCCCCCACCAUGGAACACGCAGGUUAAUGCCACCUUCCCCAGGACAGAGACCUGAGGAUCCUCCCUGCAGCCCAGGGCACGGCCCCCAGAGAGCUCCCCACAGCACAUGCCCCUGGGCACUAAAGCCACAUGGGAGUCCCAGGCAGAGAGAGCAAGGACAGUGGGGGGGGGGGGGAUCAAGUGCCAGCAGGGAGCAGCCGAGGAUGGCAGGGAUGGGGGGCAGGUGCAAAAGGACAGUGGGGAGGAGGCUGGGGGGGUCAAGUGCCAGCAGGGAGCAGCUGAGGACAGCGGGGGGGCUCGGAGUUCAGGUGCCAGCAGGGAGCAGUGGGACAGGUACUUCCAGGCUGCGAGAGGAUAGUGGGGUGUGUGUGUGCCAGGUGCUAGCGGGGAGCAGCUGAGGACAACGGGGGUGUGUGGGGGGAGUCAGGUGCCAGCGGGGAGCAGUGGGACAGGUACUUCCAGGCUGCGAGAGGACAGUGGGGUGCCUGUGUGCCAGGUGCCAGCGGGGAGCAGCUGAGGACAACGGGGGGAAUGCGGGGGGAGUCAGGUGCCAGCGGGGAGCAGCUGAGGACAGCAGGGGUGCGUGUGUGCCAGGUGCCAGCGGGGAGCAGCUGAGAACAGCGGGGGGCUGCGUUUGUGCCAGGUGCCAGCGGGGAGCAGCUGAGGACAGCAGGGGUGCGUGUGUGCCAGGUGCCAGCGGGGAGCAGCUGAGAACAGCGGGGGGCUGUGUGUGUGCCAGGUGCCAACGGGGAGCAGCUGAGGACAGCGGUGGGGUGCGGGGGGAGUCAGGUGCCAGCGGGGAGCAGCUGAGGACAGCAGGGGUGCGUGUGUGCCAGGUGCCAGCAGGGAGCAGCUGAGAACAGCGGGGGGCUGCGUGUGUGCCAGGUGCCAGCGGGGAGCAGCUGAGGACAGCGGGGGGCUGCGUGUGUGCCAGGUGCCAGCAGGGAGCAGCUGAGGACAGCGGUGGGGUGCGGGGGGAGUCAGGUGCCAGCGGGGAGUAGCAGGCC